rnacentral:rRNA from 1 species
UAGGGAAUCUUCCACAAUGGACGAAAGUCUGAUGGAGCAACGCCGCGUGAGUGAUGAAGGGUUUCGGCUCGUAAAACUCUGUUGUUGGGGAAGAACAGGUGUGAGAGUAACUGUUCACAUCUUGACGGUAUCCAACCAGAAAGCCACGGCUAACUACGUGCCAGCAGCCGCGGUAAUACGUAGGUGGCAAGCGUUGUCCGGAUUUAUUGGGCGUAAAGCGAGCGCAGGCGGUUUCUUAGGUCUGAUGUGAAAGCCUUCGGCUUAACCGGAGAAGUGCAUUGGAAACCAGGAGACUUGAGUGCAGAAGAGGACAGUGGAACUCCAUGUGUAGCGGUGAAAUGCGUAGAUAUAUGGAAGAACACCAGUGGCGAAGGCGGCUGUCUGGUCUGUAACUGACGCUGAGGCUCGAAAGCAUGGGUAGCGAACAGGAUUAGAUACCCUGGUAGUCCAUGCCGUAAACGAUGAGUGCUAAGUGUUGGGAGGCUUCCGCCUCUCAGUGCUGCAGCUAACGCAUUAAGCACUCCGCCUGGGGGAGUACGACCGCAAGGUUGAAAC